ensembl:misc_RNA Metazoa_SRP Metazoan signal recognition particle RNA
GCCAGGUGGCGUGGCAGGUGCCUGUCAUCCCAGCUACUCAGGAGGGUAAAAUGGGAUGAUCGCUUGAGCCCAGGAGUUCUGGGCUGGGGUGCACUAUGCCAAUCGGGUGUCCUCACUAAGUUCGGCAUCAAUAUGGUGACCUCCCAGGAGCGGGGGACCACCAGGUUGCCUAAGGAGGGAUGAAUCAGCCCAUUUCUGAAACUGAGCAGGUCAAAACUCCCAUGCUGAUCAGUAGUGGGAUUGUGCCUGUGAAUAGCCACUGCACUCCAGCCUGGGCAACAGAGAGACCCCAUCUCUA